GCUCCAUGCUUUUUUACUUGUAUUUCAGUGGGUUUUUCUUAGGGUUUUUGGUUUUCAGCUUUAGAAAUCUCUAUUUCGUUCCGUCUUUCAGAUCUAUAAAUGUCGGUCUUGUUCUUCAUUUUUGUUUGUUUAUCGUAAACUAUAUGUUGUUCUUUAUUUUUGGAUUGUUUGUUCCCCUCUGUUUAAUAUUAUAACUUUUGUGUUAUUUUCUGUUUCUUUUAAAUCGUUGCUUAGCAAAAUACUAAUUGCCUAAACAAAAAGCAUCCGCAUGUAAAUUGUUUACUGCAUCUGUGUUGGCUUGAUUUUGGUUCUAGGAACCCGAUGGGUGUUGUGUUGGCUUGAUUUUGGUUCUAGGAACCCGGUGGGAGUUGUGACGCACGUAGAGUUUAUUUGGUAGUUUUUCUGGAUGGUAAUAAAAUGUCUUUUUAAUUCGUUGUGAGUUGUGACAUUCUGUUUCUUAGUUUUCUCAAAAAGUUUGUACUUUAGUUUUAAAAAAAUUAUAAUAAUCUAAUUGGGAUGCUUGUUGAUAUUGAUAGGAAUUGGAGAAUUUCAACCGAUUUGCUAAUUGCAAAGGUUUUUGUCGAUUUGGGUUUCAUGAUUAUAUACGGUGGAGAUUGUCAUGAUUCGUAUAUGCAUAUAUGUUUUCUUUUUCAUACUGCUGGGUGUUUGCAUUAGUCAGUAAGUGUUGGGUAUAUUUUCUUUAAAAUAAUUGGGAUUGUUUGAGUUCUGUUGGGUAUGAUUUGCAAAUGGAUUUUGAUUGGAAGUUUUAGGUAGACCCAUGGUAUCUCUGUAUAUCUUCUGAAUGGGAAGUUUUAUGUGAUUAUUGAUAUAUCCAUGUGGUGAAAAUGCUCUGAUUUUGGUUAAAGAUAGAAUUAUAUUCAUCUGUGUUACCUAGCCUUACAUGAAGGGAAAUUUAGUUGUAAUCUUUUAAGUAAAUAGGUUCCAUGAGACUGAUUAACGUAAUUUUGAUUUGCUUAUUGGUUGAUGGUUUUACGAGACUGGUAAAAAGAUGUGUUGGAUAUAUUCUCUAAUGAUGUCAUAACCAAUUUCUUGUUCAUUUAUUGUCUUAGUUGAUUUCUCGAUGCAUGCUGGUUCUGAAUAAAUUUUUGUUCUUUUGAUUUUUCUGUUUUGGGUUAGCUUAUAGGAUUUAAAGAUUGUCUUAUUCCAAUCCACGAAUAUCCUUGUCAUAUCCAUGUGGUGAAAAUGCUCUGAUUUUGGUUAAAGAUAGAAUUAUAUUCAUCUGUGUUACCUAGCCUUACAUGAAGGGAAAUUUAGUUGUAAUCUUUUAAGUAAAUAGGUUCCAUGAGACUGAUUAACGUAAUUUUGAUUUGCUUAUUGGUUGAUGGUUUUACGAGACUGGUAAAAAGAUGUGUUGGAUAUAUUCUCUAAUGAUGUCAUAACCAAUUUCUUGUUCAUUUAUUGUCUUAGUUGAUUUCUCGAUGCAUGCUGGUUCUGAAUAAAUUUUUGUUCUUUUGAUUUUUCUGUUUUGGGUUAGCUUAUAGGAUUUAAAGAUUGUCUUAUUCCAAUCCACGAAUAUCCUUGUCAUAUCCUGUCUCGGAAUAAGCUAUUCUGGGGAUAUCCCCUUCAUAUCCCAUCCCGAUUCAGAAUUUCCCCUGUCCGGUUUAGUUCUUUUAGUGUCCGGUUCAGAUUUUUUAUGCUGCAGGACCGGACUACCUGUCACACUUAUUCCACGUAGGGAUAUCCCAUUCCUUGUAUAUCCCGGUUUGGGGAUAUCCUAAAGAGGGAUAUCCCGGCCGGGUAUAUCCCAUUCCAAGGAUAUCCCGGCGUUGGUUUAAGGUUAUUUUUUGAAGGAAAAUACUGGGCUAUUAUUAAAAUUCAAAAACACGAACCAUCAGGACUAAAAGACCGACUCCAAAACGAAAUGGGCCCAAAGCAAAACAAAAGCCUGGAAAAACAGGCCUAAAUUUUUCUGGGUCUAAAUACUAUUUAAGAAAAGAUUGUAUCUUCAAUCCAUAAAGAUUGAAUAUAACUUUUCCCAAGUACGAUAUUUUUUACAAAAUGAAAUAAAAUUCAAACCAUUUUUAAAAUAAAUAAUAAAAACUCUUUCUUCCUUCAUCUCUCUCACGUUCGGUUCUCCCUUUCUUCUCUUCCCUUUUCCCCUUUCUUCUACUAAUUUUCUUUUUCUCUCUUCCUCCUUUAUUGUCCUUUCUAACAAACCGCUGCCGCUGCUUCCACACAUUUUCCAGCGUCUUACCUCCGAUCAGGCCAGCUUCCUUCCCAUCAUUCGAAACUUAAAUCCUCAAAUAUAUCUAUCCAAUCCAUUAUUUAUCGUUUCUUCGGCGAUUCUCUCUCACCCUAGGUCUCUUUUCAACGUUUUCCUGUCAUUCUAUUUUAGCCUUGGGUAUCCACAGGCCAAAAAAACACACGCUAUAGUAGGAAGAGAGUUUUCGUGAGAGAGAAACCCUAUGUUUUCUCUGGCGUUUCUGGUUUUUGUGAUUUUUGAAAUUUGCUGCUUAAACGAAGACUCAUUUCAGCUUACAGGAUUUAAAGAUUGUCUUUGGUCAAUCGUUUGAUAAUUAUUACCUUAUACAAGUGCUGUUUGAUUUUCCUUUUUCAAUGUUGUCAUAGUGUAUAAAUGUUGAGGGUUAAAUAUUUUAGAAUUAAAAGCAAAUUGACAUGAUAUAUAUAGCAAUUAUAAUAUUAUUUAAUUAAUAUUAUACAAUUAAUAUAAAAUGAAAUUAAAAGCAAGAUGUUUGGGAGUAUGAUUCGGUACUUUUCAACGAAACCCAAGCCGAAAAUGAAGCCAAUCGAGUUGAAAACGUCGCCAGAGCAAACGCAGACCAUAAGCAGAGUCACCUUUGACAUUCUCAAGGAGCAUGGGCCCCUCACCAUCGGUGAUACUUGGGAACGAGUCAAGGAGGUUGGACUGAGAGCACUUACAAGUAAGAGGCACAUGAAGAUCGUGCUGAGAUGGAUGAGAGGGAGACAAAACAUUAGGCUAAUAUGCAACCAUGUGGGGCCUCACAAACAAUUUCUGUAAACAACUUGGUUCACUAAACCAAGCAUCAGCCACACAAGAGCUGUCCAUAAUUCCUCAACUUCUACAACUAGUUUUUCUGUCGAUACUUCUAGUCCAAAGUCGUCUUCAGGUUAGGUUGUAGCACGCUUGUGCUGGCUGUAAUACCAUCACAUGUACUGUUUUUUGCAAUAAUGUAAUACAAUUGUUCUGUUGUCAUGUUGUAGAAA